CCUACGGGAGGCAGCAGUGAGGAAUAUUGGUCAAUGGGCGCAAGCCUGAACCAGCCAAGUAGCGUGAAGGAUGACUGCCCUACGGGUUGUAAACUUCUUUUAUAAAGGAAUAAAGUGAGGCACGUGUGCCAUUUUGCAUGUACUUUAUGAAUAAGGAUCGGCUAACUCCGUGCCAGCAGCCGCGGUAAUACGGAGGAUACGAGCGUUAUCCGGAUUUAUUGGGGUUAAAGGGAGCGUAGAUGGGUUGUUAAGUCAGUUGUGAAAGUUUGGGGCUCAACCGUAAAAUUGCAAUGGAUACUGGCAGCCUUGAGUACAGUUGAGGUAGGCGGAAUUCGUGGUGUAGCGGUGAAAUGCUUAGAUAUCACGAAGAACUCCGAUUGCGAAGGCAGCUUACUAGACUGCCACUGACUUUGAUGAUCGAAAGUGUGGGUAGCAAACAGGAUUAGAUACCCGUGUAGUC
rnacentral:rRNA from 1 species